rnacentral:rRNA from 1 species
CCAAUAGCGUAUAUUAAAGUUGUUGCAGUUAAAAAGCUCGUAGUUGAAUUUCGGGAUUGACACAUCGGUCGUGCCUUAAGGGGUGUGAACUGGUGUAGUCAAUUUCUCACCUUCUGGAGAGCCGCGAUGUCCUUAAUUGGGUGCCGCGAGGAACCAGGACCUUUACUUUGAAAAAAUUAGAGUGUUUAAAGCAGGCAUUUUUGCUUGAAUACAUUAGCAUGGAAUAAUAAAAUAGGACGGCAUGAUUCUAUUUUGUUGGUUUCUAGGAUCACCGUAAUGAUUAAUAGGGAUAGUUGGGGGCAUUAGUAUUCAAUUGUCAGAGGUGAAAUUCUUGGAUUUAUUGAAGACUAACUACUGCGAAAGCAUUUGCCAAGGAUGUUUUCAUUAAUCAAGAACGAAAGUUAGGGGAUCGAAGACGAUCAGAUACCGUCGUAGUCUUAACCAUAAACUAUGCCGACUAGGAAUCAGACGAUGUUAAUUUUUUAAUGACUCGUUUGGCACCUUACG